AGCGACUUGGUCAAAAGUGAAUAUUUUGGCCGUUUCUAAAGAUAUGGAUCCGAAAACUUGGAAAUGACAAGAGGAACUUAUGAGCAUUGAAGUGUAAUCGAUUUCGAAACCCGACUUUGCCGUGAUUGAAGUAUAUUAGCGAAGGAGAAGGAUUCCAGUUCAGUCAUUCUGCGGACAACAACUUGGUGUACUUCCAAAUUCUGAAACCCAGCGUUACACAAAGGAUACUUAAGAAUGAUGAAUCUUUUCUAUGCGUUUUAAUAAACUUGAAAUGUCAAAGUUUUGCUCAAA